rnacentral:rRNA from 1 species
UACGUAGGGUGCGAGCGUUGUCCGGAAUUAUUGGGCGUAAAGAGCUCGUAGGCGGCCUGUCGCGUCGGAUGUGAAAGCCCGGGGCUUAACCCCGGGUCUGCAUUCGAUACGGGCAGGCUAGAGUGUGGUAGGGGAGAUCGGAAUUCCUGGUGUAGCGGUGAAAUGCGCAGAUAUCAGGAGGAACACCGGUGGCGAAGGCGGAUCUCUGGGCCAUUACUGACGCUGAGAGCGAAAGCGUGGGGAGCGAACAGG